GGCUGAGAGGUCUAGAGGUUUGAGUAUUAGACUGGGAAUCUGGGAGACCAGGGUUCAAAUCCCUGCUCAGCGU
rnacentral:tRNA from 1 species